rnacentral:rRNA from 1 species
CAGUCGCCGCGGUAAUACGUAGGUGGCAAGCGUUGUCCGGAAUUAUUGGGCGUAAAGGGCUCGCAGGCGGUUUCUUAAGUCUGAUGUGAAAGCCCCCGGCUCAACCGGGGAGGGUCAUUGGAAACUGGGAAACUUGAGUGCAGAAGAGGAGAGUGGAAUUCCACGCGUAGCGGUGAAAUGCGUAGAGAUGUGGAGGAACACCAGUGGCGAAGGCGACUCUCUGGUCUGUAACUGACGCUGAGGAGCGAAAGCGUGGGGAGCGAACAGGAUUAGAGACCCCCGUAGUCCCUGUCUCUUAUAA